rnacentral:rRNA from 1 species
GACGAACGCUGGCGGCGUGCUUAACACAUGCAAGUCGAACGGAAAGGCCCUGCUUUUGUGGGGUGCUCGAGUGGCGAACGGGUAAGUAACACGUGAGUAACCUGCCCUUGACUUUGGGAUAACUUCAGGAAACUGGGGCUAAUACCGGAUAGGAGCUCCUGCUGCAUGGUGGGGGUUGGAAAGUUUCGGCGGUUGGGGAUGGACUCGCGGCUUAUCAGCUUGUUGGUGGGGUAGUGGCUUACCAAGGCUUUGACGGGUAGCCGGCCUGAGAGGGUGACCGGCCACAGUGGGACUGAGAUACGGCCCAGACGCCUACGGGAGGCAGGAGUGGGGAAUAGUGGACAAUGGGCGGAAGCAUGAUGCAGCAACGCCGCGUGCGGGAUGACGGCCUUCGGGGUGUAAACCGCGUGCGAGUGUGACGAAGCGUGAGUGACGGUAAUGGGUAAAGAAGCACCGGCUAACUACGU